AAAGGCAGAUCGCACAGUAUAGAGUUGGUAUGCGAUAGGGCGUGCGACCUAGCAAUCUGCCAGACGAAAUAGCUCAGUCAUUAUACAGGGGUGAGGUCCUCGAUUCAAAUGAAGGAUACCAGCCCUAAAUCAUGAAGUUGGAUCCACAUCAGGAGAAAAUGUGCACACUGUGAAUGCCGUCAGAUCGAGAGAUUCAGCUUGUGGAAUGUAGGCCUCAGGUGCGAGGUAGCUAGCAUUGGCGAGUAACGGAUUCCGUCCUGCGUUCAUCUGACGACCAACUCAUUCAGGUCAAGACUCUCCGUCUCUCGUCCUGCGAAAGAUCAAGAGUGCCCAAUGGCUGACCCGCA